rnacentral:rRNA from 1 species
GACGAACGCUGGCGGCGUGCCUAAUACAUGCAAGUCGAGCGAACAGACGAGGAGCUUGCUCCUCUGACGUUAGCGGCGGACGGGUGAGUAACACGUGGAUAACCUACCUAUAAGACUGGGAUAACUUCGGGAAGCCGGAGCUAAUACCGGAUAAUAUAUUGAACCGCAUGGUUCAAUAGUGAAAGACGGUUUUGCUGUCACUUAUAGAUGGAUCCGCGCCGCAUUAGCUAGUUGGUAAGGUAACGGCUUACCAAGGCGACGAUGCGUAGCCGACCUGAGAGGGUGAUCGGCCACACUGGAACUGAGACACGGUCCAGACUCCUACGGGAGGCAGCAGUAGGGAAUCUUCCGCAAUGGGCGAAAGCCUGACGGAGCAACGCCGCGUGAGUGAUGAAGGUCUUCGGAUCGUAAAACUCUGUUAUUAGGGAAGAACAAAUGUGUAAGUAACUAUGCACGUCUUGACGGUACCUAAUCAGAAAGCCACGGCUAACUACGUG